rnacentral:rRNA from 1 species
GACGAACGCUGGCGGCGUGCCUAACACAUGCAAGUCGAACGGGGUAAUUUCUUCGGAGAUUACUUAGUGGCGAACGGGUGAGUAACGCGUGAGAAACCUGCCUUUCAGUGGGGGACAACAGUUGGAAACGACUGCUAAUACCGCAUAAUGUUAUUUGGGGGCAUCCCUGAAUAACCAAAGCUUUAUGUGCUGAAAGAUGGUCUCGCGUCUGAUUAGCUAGAUGGCGGGGUAAUGGCCCACCAUGGCGACGAUCAGUAGCCGGUCUGAGAGGAUGAACGGCCACAUUGGGACUGAGAUACGGCCCAGACUCCUACGGGAGGCAGCAGUGGGGAAUAUUGGGCAAUGGGGGAAACCCUGACCCAGCAACGCCGCGUGAAGGAAGAAGGCCUUCGGGUUGUAAACUUCUUUUACCAGGGACGAAGAACGUGACGGUACCUGGAGAAAAAGCAACGGCUAACUACGUGCCAGCCGCCGCAGUAAUAC